AUUGAACGCUGGCGGCAGGCUUAACACAUGCAAGUCGAGCGGAGCGAGGGUGCUUGCACCUUAGCUUAGCGGCGGACGGGUGAGUAAUGCUUAGGAAUCUGCCUAUUAGUGGGGGACAACAUUCUGGAAGGAAUGCUAAUACCGCAUACGCCCUACGGGGGAAAGCAGGGGAUCUUCGGACCUUGCGCUAAUAGAUGAGCCUAAGUCGGAUUAGCUAGUUGGUGGGGUAAAGGCCUACCAAGGCGACGAUCUGUAGCGGGUCUGAGAGGAUGAUCCGCCACACUGGGACUGAGACACGGCCCAGACUCCUACGGGAGGCAGCAGUGGGGAAUAUUGGACAAUGGGCGGAAGCCUGAUCCAGCCAUGCCGCGUGUGUGAAGAAGGCCUUUUGGUUGUAAAGCACUUUAAGCGAGGAGGAGGCUACUUAGAUUAAUACUCUGGGAUAGUGGACGUUACUCGCAGAAUAAGCACCGGCUAACUCUGUGCCAGCCGCCGCAGUAA
rnacentral:rRNA from 1 species